AACGAACGCUGGCGGCGUGCUUAACACAUGCAAGUCGAACGGACUCUUCGGAGUUAGUGGCGGACGGGUGAGUAAUACAUAGAUAAUCUGCCUUCAAGUGGGGGAUAACUAAGCGAAAGUUUAGCUAAUACCGCAUAAUGUAGUUAGUUGAAAUACUAAUUAAGAAAGGAUUUAUUCGCUUUUAGAGGGGUCUAUGGUUGAUUAGCUAGUUGGUGAGGUAAUGGCUCACCAAGGCGACGAUCAAUAGCUGGUCUGAGAGGACGAUCAGCCACACUGGGACUGAGACACGGCCCAGACUUCUACGGAGGGCAGCAGUGGGGAAUUUUCCGCAAUGGGCGAAAGCCUGACGGAGCGACGCCGCGUGGAGGAUGAAGUUUUUAGGAAUGUAAACUCCUUUCAGCAGGGACGAAAACAAUGACGGUACCUGCAGAAGAAGCAUCGGCUAACUACGUGCCAGCAGCCGCGGUAA
rnacentral:rRNA from 1 species